UUUUGUUAAGCAAAAUUUCUGCGUUGGUGUAAGGCAGAUUUUCCAGGCUUCAACAAACCAGAUGGCCAUCCAAAAAUGCGAUAUGAAAUUUUUAUAGGAAGCUAAGAGCUGAACCCAUCUAAGGGAGAGAUUUUUCAGAGAUUCCAAACUUUUAAAAAUAAAUAUUACUGCAAGAUCUUAGGUAUCUACAUUUGAACUGUAAUGAGUAAAUAAAUAGCCACAGUGAUAAUUACCUAAAUUCUAUAUUUAGAAGGAACAGAACACGUGCAAUAAACAAUAGCACAUUGUGAUAUUAAUGAAGCGCUUGCUUCCUCUAAAUGUAGAAAUUCAGCAAUUAUCACCAGAAUUGGCAUGUAUAAAGGUGCCGGUGACAAUUUUAAAAAGGCAUAUUGCUUAUCUGAUAGACCAGAAUGCAUGCUUUGGACCUGAUGCAUUCUGUUAUGAAGCAUUCAGUGACACAGUCCCACACUGAGCCAAGCUUAUGCUCGGCACAGCAACGGCUCUGGUGGGGAGAAGAGGUGAUUGCAAGCCUUCCUUCUGCUUGCCCCAACUUUGCGUUGGCCAGAGGCCAACUCAGCCAUCAGCACAAAUUAGAGCUGCUAUAAAGAUGUUCUACUUUACACCAGCAGGUUUGGACCCCUGAGGAGUGCACUACUCAGACAUCAGAGCGUGUAUUGAACUUCAGACCUUUCCCAUCAAACCUCUGUCAAGCUCCUUCCCCGCUAAAAGGAAACGUCUCCACAAGUUGGCUCACCAGGCUGCAGGAACCUGUUCACACGCAGAGGCUCCCAGUCCACAGGAGGUCACAACUAUCAUGCACUGCCGGGGCGGGAUGGAAAACUGCUGCAUGCGUUGGAGCAUCAUGGCCGUGAACAUACACAAGAUCAGGGGAAAAAGAUAACAUACAGUGAAGAAUUCAUACACCCGCCAUGCAAAAAAAAAAAAAGAGGUGACUCAAAUGACCGCAACUCAUGCCUUUCCCGUCUGAGAGGUAAUGUUGCCAGAGGACACGGGCUGCAGAAGGCUCUCCGUAGGUAGCUGCAGAGGCAUCCUAACCAGCUUUCUAGGAAUAACUGCGCUGUUUCUACAGAAACUUUCAGACACGAUAGCAUACGUGACUAUAUCCACAUCACUGAGACUUUAGAUACCAAAUCUAAAUAUUAAUUGGCACAAACUGCUCACAACAACUGAUCCCAUAGAAUAACCUCUCAGAAGCUUACAGUCUCAGUAACCUGACUCACUCAGCAGCUGUGCUGCCUCUGACUUCCCUACCACCACCAUACACUGUCCCUCUCUGCAACGGGCCAAAGACACGAGGGUGAAAUCAUUGCCAUGAGGACAGAAGAGAUACCACUUCUCAGGCUCCUAACUUUUGGGUAGCUGCCUGACUUGGCAAAAGUAGUUGAAGUAUGCUAGCACAGGUCUGGGAGCGCUGGCCGUGGCAGCCAGAAAGGAACCACUCCUCUCACGCUGGGACAGAUCCCUCCAUCUGCCUCUAAACGAAACCUGGGGUCUCUUCUCCUACCAGUCUUGUGAACUCCUAAAAAUCAUGUACUGUAGCAUCCCAGUCCAAUAAACUAAUAAACAC